CAUGUUUUAUAGUUUCCUUUUACUUUUCACGAUGAAGAUGCCAAUAUCAUUAUACUACAAUUUUGCUACGUAGUAGCAUAUCUUACAGGGUAAGCAAAGUUUCUGAAGCAUGAAAAGUAAAAGGAAACUAUUAUAAAACAUGCAUUUAUACAAGCAGCACUACAAACAUUUUCCCAAAGGCUUAGCUCUUGACACUUCCUUGAACAAAAAUUUCUCCCAAUUUCACUUCUGAGAACGGCUUAGUUAAUGGAUGCUGUUUAUCUAUUAGCUGGGAACAAACUUGUUUCAUGGUUGGCCGAGAUUGAGGAUUGGCACUCAAGCAAGCAAGUGCAAGUUGCGCAAUAUGCAUCACUCGCUCAGCAGCUUUGUUUUGAGGAGUUGGGAGGCGUUGGUCAAUCACAUCCUUAAAUAGUGUCUGAUGUUCUAUUGGCGAGGAGGGCAAUGAAAAUGUAAAUGAAACAGAUGAAAUGAAAUCACCUGGAUGUCUUCCCAUUAGAAUUUCAAGUGUCACCACACCAAAACUGUAAACAUCACAUUUUUCAUUGACGAUCAUGGUGUAAGCUAGCUCUGGUGCCGAGUACCCAAAUGUGCCUGCUAAUGAGGUCCAAUUUGAUGAGUCUGGCAUUAAGAUCCUAGCUGUUCCAAAAUCAGAGACAUGAGCCUCAAACUCUGAAUCCAAUAGAACAUUGUUACUGGAAAU
rnacentral:misc_RNA from 1 species